UUAAUCAAGAGAUUGUGCUGGACCUGUAGGGUGUCGAUUAAUUUGUUGAUUUAAGAUUUUAUAUUAAUUAAACUUUAUUUGCUUAUAAGAUAUAAAACUUUACUCUCCUUAAAGUGGUGCCUACAACAGUAUAAUGUCUCUGAAAUUUAUUAAUUAUUAGAUUUGGACCAGUCCCAAAAUAGGAGAUGUGGUACAAGUGCUUAAUCAAGAGGCCCAUGGGCUACAACGCUUACCUGACUACCGCAGAAUGUGAUGUCAACAUUAUAGAGAAUUAUGAAGAUAAUCACCAUCAUGUACACGUUUACAUCAGAUUUCCCAAGAUGUGCUGUAUUAUUGUCUAAAUGAUGAAGAAAAUGAAGAAAUUGAUAAUCUACAGGUUCCAGAUCCAGAUGAUGUAUUUUAAAGUGUAGCUUUGGAAAAGAAGAGGUCAUCUCCACUAUACAGAUUUUGAUAAGGUGAUAUGCAGUAGUUAAAAAGAAGAUGAAGAAAUCAACUUCUUACAGAUAUACUCCCUUUGAGAAUAAUUGGACCCUGCACUUCACAGAGACAAUGAAAGAAUUCAGAAGCCAGUGUUAAGAGAGAUCUCCCUGACGGAGGAAAUCAACACAUGAUCCUGUUAUACAACAUCAGGAUAAAGAAAUAGAGGUCUGCUGUCAAUAAUGUAUAGAGCAGUGUACCAGAAAUAUGUCAGAGUGAGAGGUGUUAGUUAUUGUUGGCACAUUACCCGUGCGUCAUCAGACCGGGUCUGGAUCAGUGAUGGUAUAGGCAAUCUUAUACUGACAAACACUAGAGGGGAAGUACUAGAUCAUGUGACAGA